rnacentral:lncRNA from 1 species
UCUUGAUGUUUUUAGGCAUGUAUCUCUUUCCUAACUUGAUUUUAUAUAAAAGCAUUUGUUUAAUCAUAGAUUAUGUGAAUUUAAUUAUGGGUUUUGAAUGAAGGAUUGAAAGUUUUAUAUGAUUACUACUUGAUUGGUUUUCCAUGAUUUUGGAAUUGCUAUUUAUGCUUUAUCUCAAAAUAUUUGAAUUAAAUUUGUGCAUGGAUAUGGC